CCUUGGCCUGCCAUCUGAGCUCCCUCUGUCAGCUUCCCUGCAUACAAGUUAGAGAGUUCAUCGACGACAGAAUGGAGAUUUGAAGGUUAAAUACAUGUAUACAAGGAAAAGUGAUCAGUACAGGACCUGGCAUAUGUUUUGCAGUAAUAAAUAUUAGACAGCUCUGAGAGCACUGCUAAGGCAGUAACUUGCAUGAGUCCUUGGCCUUUCAUCAUGGGAGUUCAAGACAAAAGUCGGCCCCAUAUUCUAUCCCUAUUGGUCUGAUGAUUUUUAAGUCUCUUUGACAAUAUCUUCUAAGUAAAGUAAUCAUAUAGACUGUAAGGCAAAGGAAGAAGAGUUUUAUUUAUUUUACUUAUUUAUUUUUUAAAGAUUUUAUUUUAUUUAUUCAUGAGAGAGAGAGAGAGAGAGGCAGAGACACAGGCAGAGGGAGAAGCAGGCUCCAUGCGGGGAGCCCGAUGUGGGACUCGAUCCUGGGACUCCAGGAUCAUGCUCUGGGCUGAAGGCAGGUGCCAAACUGCUGAGCCACCCAGGGAUCCCCCUGGAAGAAGAGUUUUAACAGCAGUGGCUUCCACCACACACUGCGAGAAACUGAGUGAAAACCUUCUGGGCAUACACUGUCUUCUAUAGAGCCGAAGCUGCCAAUUUUGAAGAAAUUCAAUUUAUCAAAAAUUUUGAUAUCUGAGAUACUCAGUAGAGCGUUUAAUAUAAGUGGUGAUGAGAUGCCAAAUUCAGAAAUUGUUAAAAGCCAGACAUUGGAAGACAGAAGAGUAAGGAUGCUGGAUAACUGCAUACACAUGGUUGAGCUAUGGUACACUCCAUGAGAUGCUAUGUAGAUCUACCCACUGAUUUGUUUUGUCCUCUACCAGAAGCCACUUGUCCUCUGCUACAAGAAAAACUGUCUUCAGGUUGAUGGGAAGUGAGAUGGUGUGAGUUCGACCUUCUAGAACAUCCAGCACAGUCAGGUUGUUCCUGAAAGAGGAGAAGAAAACUAUCUGAAAGGAAAUGGUGAGGAUAAUGGUAGGUGCAAUCAGGUGUCAUAUUCAUCAGUUUAUUACAUGAAGCCAAGACAUAAACGUACAACUUGAAAAUAGUUCAGUGACUGCAUGCUCAGGAAUCUGUCAUGAAUAUCAUGCUCAAAAAGUUCACGAUGAUCUAUUAUUAUAGUUCAGUCCUGACAAGUCUUCAUGUGAGUAUGAGGUCUACAAAAAAAAAAAGUUACUGGUAACUUAAUGAUAUGUGUAUCUAUGUCUAUUUGUAUUACAUUAACAUCUACAAGUGCACAAUGAGAAUUCUCUUGUGCAGUGCAGUUAUAAACAAUAGGUACUGAGAGGGAUGGGCAUGCACACAUCUUUCAGGUAGAAAGCUCCAGAAAUCCUUGGAAAUUUGCUGGACAAGUUGAGUGUUCCUUACCGUGUCCUCCUUACUCCACCAGGAAGGUUUCUUAGAUGGAACCUCUUCUGAAGGGAGGAUGAGACGUCGAAGUGCUUGGCCAGUGGUAUCCAAUAAUAGGAUAACAUUACUCUGGAAAUAAAGUGAAUAGUAAAAAGGUCAAGAUU